rnacentral:misc_RNA from 1 species
UUUCCGUUGGUGAACCAGCGGAGGGAUCAUUACCGAGUUUACAACUCCCAAACCCCUGUGUGAACGUUACCAAACUGUUGCCUCGGCGGGAAAUUCAUGCCCCGGGCGCGUCGCAGCCCCGGACCAAGGCGCCCGCCGGAGGACCAACCAAAACUCUUUUGUAUGUCCCUCGCGGACUUUUAUAAUUCUGAACCAUCUCGGCGCCCCUAGCGGGCGUUUCGAAAAUGAAUCAAAACUUUCAACAACGGAUCUCUUGGUUCUG